rnacentral:rRNA from 1 species
GACGAACGCUGGCGGCGUGCUUAACACAUGCAAGUCGAACGGAAAGGCCCUGCUUUUGUGGUGUGCUCGAGUGGCGAACGGGUGAGUAACACGUGAGUAACCUGCCCUUGACUUUGGGAUAACUUCAGGAAACUGGGGCUAAUACCGUAUAGGAGCUCCUGCUGCAUGGUGGGGGUUGGAAAGUUUCGGCGGUUGGGGAUGGACUCGCGGCUUAUCAGCUUGUUGGUGGGGUAGUGGCUUACCAAGGCUUUGACGGGUAGCCGGCCUGAGAGGGUGACCGGCCACAUUGGGACUGAGAUACGGCCCAGACUCCUACGGGAGGCAGCAGUGGGAAAUAUUGCACAAUGGGCGGAAGCCUGAUGAAGCAACGCCCGGUGCGGGAUGCCGGCCUUCGGGUUGUAAACCGCUUUCGCCUGUGACGAAGCGUGAGUGACGGUAAUGGGUAAAGAAGCACCGGCUAACUACGUG